GCCAGGUGUGGUGGUGCAUGCCUGUGAUCCCAGCUACUCGGGAGGCUGAGGUGGGAGGAUCACUUGAGCCUGGGAGGUCAAGGCUGCAUUGACCUAUCAUUGUACCACUGCAUUCUAGCCUGGGCAACAGAGUGAGAACCUGUCUCUC
rfam:Homo sapiens chromosome X, GRCh38 reference primary assembly.